GACGGGGUGGAGCAGCUUGGUAGCUCGUCGGGCUCAUAACCCGAAGGUCGUUGGUUCAAAUCCGGCCCCCGCA
rnacentral:tRNA from 1 species